UUUUCGUCAAUGGGCGCAAGCCUGAACGAGCGAUGCCGCGUGAGUGAAGAAGGCCUUCGGGUCGUAAAACCCUGUUGUUAGAGAAGAAAGUGCGUGAGAGUAACUGUUCACGUUUCGACGGUAUCUAACCAGAAAGCCACGGCUAACUCCGUGCCAGCAGCCGCGGUAAUACGUAGGUGGCAAGCGUUAUCCGGAUUUAUUGGGAGUAAAGGGAACGCAGGCGGUCUUUUAAGUCUGAUGUGAAAGCCUUCGGCUUAACCGGAGUAGUGCAUUGGAAACUGGGAGACUUGAGUGCAGAAGAGGAGAGUGGAACUCCAUGUGUAGCGGUGAAAUGCGUAGAUAUAUGGAAGAACACCAGUGGCGAAAGCGGCUCUCUGGUCUGUAACUGACGCUGAGGUUCGAAAGCGUGGGUAGCAAA
rnacentral:rRNA from 1 species